GAUGAACGCUGGCGGCGUGCUUAACACAUGCAAGUCGAACGGAAAGGCCGAAGCUUGCUUCGGUACUCGAGUGGCGAACGGGUGAGUAACACGUGGGUGAUCUGCCCUGUACUUCGGGAUAAGCUUGGGAAACUGGGUCUAAUACCGGAUAUGACAAUCUCUUGGAUGGGGUUGUGGAAAGCUUUUGCGGUAUGGGAUGAGCUCGCGGCCUAUCAGCUUGUUGGUGGGGUAAUGGCCUACCAAGGCGUCGACGGGUAGCCGGCCUGAGAGGGUGUACGGCCACAUUGGGACUGAGAUACGGCCCAGACUCCUACGGGAGGCAGCAGUGGGGAAUAUUGCACAAUGGGGGAAACCCUGAUGCAGCGACGCCGCGUGGGGGAUGAAGGCCUUCGGGUUGUAAACUCCUUUCGCUAGGGACGAAGCUUUUUGUGACGGUACCUGGAGAAGAAGCACCGGCUAACUACGUG
rnacentral:rRNA from 1 species